rnacentral:misc_RNA from 1 species
GAUGAAGAACGUAGCGAAAUGCGUUACUUGGUGUGAAUUGCAGAAUCCCGUGAACCAUCGAGUCUUUGAACGCAAGUUGCGCCCGAAGCCAUUAGGCCGAGGGCACGCCUGCCUGGGCGUCACACGUCGUUGCCCCCCCAUCUACUCCUUCGGGAUUGCGGGGGGCGGAUGAUGGCCUCCCGUGCGCCUCGCCGCGCGGUUGGCAUAAAUGCCAAGUCCUCGGCGACGCACGCCACGACAAUCGGUGGUUGCGAAACCUCGGUGGCCCGUCGUGUGCGGUCGUCGCGCAUCGAGGGCUCGAAAAAAUUGCCGGGUUCCGGCUCGGCUUUCAACGCGACCCCAGGUCAGGCGGGGUUACCCGCUGAAUUUAAGCAUAUCAAUAAGCGGAGGA